GCUGAGGUUUAUCCCGAUGCGGCUUUUUCUGUAGACCUACACCAUUGGGAACGCCUCAUACAGAAUACGUGUGGUUUCCUUUGUUCACAGAACCAUGUUUAGAUCUGUGGGAAAGAACUACAGGACAUCG
ensembl:snoRNA